rnacentral:lncRNA from 1 species
UAGUUAUGAUAUAAAUAUUUAAUUGAAAUUGUAGUAUUUUUCUAAUUAUAGUAUGGAGACAAGCAACCAAACAGAUAUGGAGACAAAAAUAGAGCACCAAGUGGCAAGUUAUGGAGGACACCUAGGGGACAGAUGUCGUCAUUCAUGCUGAAGAAAGAGGGUAUUUAUAGACUGAAUAAGGAAGAAAAAGGGGAGGAAAAUUAGAAGCUAAAGAAAAACAAGAAGAAACAUGAGCCUCAACAACAUGAGCCUCAACAAUACUUUAUUAAAAUAUUUAAAAGAGUGACAAAUGACUAAAUUUAAAUAUCAAGUCUGCAUUAAUAAUCUGCGAUCAUCAUGUGGUGUUCGUUUUGUUUUCACAUCUCACACAGCACCACCACACAUUCAUCUUCAUCUUCUGAUGUAUUCUGAUUUCUGAAGAAGAUAUAGAGAGUGAAAUUUUUAUUCUUUAUAUACUUGUCUCUCAAUAAUGCAUGUGAUGACUAAUCCUUACAGAAAAUGAUCAAUGAGAAACAUUUCUAAGAAAGAAUGAAGUUCUUUCUUAGAAUCGAUAUCAAGCAGAGGAAAAAAUAGAAACACUAUUGGAAUCCACCAAUAGAAAGGAAAAGAAGAAGAAGAAUAAAGCAAGAGAAGAAGAAAGUGGGUACCUAGAAUAAUUCAAAAAAUGAUAAUUGCCUCUCUUCAUCGAGGUCCACUCCUUUUAUACUCAUAUCAUGGUCAGUGGACAUAUCUAUGAUAUGAGUUACAGUUUCUCAGAGAUUGAGCACAUGGCUCGAGCCAUUCUUGGGCCUGUUCUUGGGUUUGACUCUGUUCUGAUCCAAGAAUCAAUUGACUACUUUUCUGAUAUAAGUAAUGACUAUAAUUCCCUGCAUCACUCAAGAUGGUAGAUGCACAUGAGACGAGUGUUGAUAGUUUUAGUUGAAAUAAUUCAUGUCUCUGCCAUGACAGAGUGCACAACUUGACCCCUCAACUACUUCAAGUUGAUCAGUCCCCUUAAUUGGCUCAAGUCCUAUAUGACAUACAUAGUUACAUACAGAAAGUGGGAAUGGUACCUUGAACCACGUAAACUUCUUCAGAGACUCAGAAACGAGUUGAGCUAACCUUUUGUGUCACUCUUCUUUCCUUGCUCUGUUUUGUAUAAUAAAGAAUCUGGAUAAUUAAUACUUGAUUGCUUGACUGUAUAUUUAUUUAAUUUUUUUUAUGAUCAUAGAAUGUACUUACAGAUUACUCAAACUUUUCUCUGACAAAGGUACAACAAAUGGAAAACGAGAUUAUGGAUUCAAAAGAAAAGUCGGGGGCUUGGGGAUUAGGUCUUCAGUGGAUGAGAGAGAGGAUGGAAUUGAGAGCGGUUCGGGGGAGAGACGACAGGCGUACCGGCCCUCUGUCAUCGAGAUGGCUUCAAAUACAAUAAGUUUCCAGAAUUGAGAGAUCGGAGCUGGUGGGAAACAGCUGUUGAACAAUCUACCAUUGGGCGCUGGAUUCCUAUCCAGUCUCGUAUUCAUCAUCUUUCCCAGCAGCAGGAAAGGGAUAGGAUACUCC